rfam:Bacillus selenitireducens MLS10, complete genome.
CGGACGGUAUCAUCACAGCGAACCGUACCUUUAAGUACUAUCGAUGAAACAUGAGAAAACCAUUCAGCCUGCCUUGAUCCAAUGUGACAGGGACAGAAGG